UACGUAGGUGGCAAGCGUUGUCCGGAAUCACUGGGCGUAAAGCGCGCGCAGGCGGCGAUCUACGUCUGGGGUGAAAGCCCGGAGCUCAACUCCGGGACUGCCUUGGAUACGGGAUCGCUUGGGGAUUGGAGAGGCAAGGGGAAUUCCACGUGUAGCGGUGAAAUGCGUAGAUAUGUGGAGGAACACCUGUGGCGAAGGCGCCUUGCUGGCCAAUUUCUGACGCUGAGGCGCGAAAGCGUGGGGAGCAAACAGG
rnacentral:rRNA from 1 species